rnacentral:rRNA from 1 species
UACGAAGGGGGCUAGCGUUGCUCGGAAUUACUGGGCGUAAAGCGCACGUAGGCGGCUCUUUAAGUCGGGGGUGAAAUCCUGGAGCUCAACUCCAGAACUGCCUUCGAUACUGAAGAGCUCGAGUCCGGGAGAGGUGAGUGGAACUGCGAGUGUAGAGGUGAAAUUCGUAGAUAUUCGCAAGAACACCAGUGGCGAAGGCGGCUCACUGGCCCGGUACUGACGCUGAGGUGCGAAAGGCGUGGGGAGCAAACAGG